rnacentral:rRNA from 1 species
UACGUAGGGGGCAAGCGUUGUCCGGAUUUAUUGGGCGUAAAGAGCGUGUAGGCGGCCAGACAGGUCCGUUGUGAAAACUCGAGGCUCAACCUCGAGAUGUCGAUGGAAACCGUCUGGCUAGAGUCCGGAAGAGGAGUGUGGAAUUCCUGGUGUAGCGGUGAAAUGCGCAGAUAUCAGGAGGAACACCGGAGUGGAAGGCG